UGGCUCAGAACGAACGCUGGCGGCAGGCCUAACACAUGCAAGUCGAGCGCCUCGCAAGAGGAGCGGCGGACGGGUGAGUAACGCGUGGGAACGUACCCUUUGCUACGGAAUAGCCUCGGGAAACUGAGAGUAAUACCGUAUAAGCCCUACGGGGGAAAGAUUUAUCGGCAAAGGAUCGGCCCGCGUCUGAUUAGCUAGUUGGUGAGGUAGCGGGUAAACAAGGCGACGAUCGGUAGCCGGCCUGAGAGG
rnacentral:rRNA from 1 species